ACCUAGUAAGGAGGGCUUUAAACUAGGUUCGACGGGGACAGGUUUUAUCUGCUGGGCUGUGAUUUCCUUGAGGUCCUUGUGAGUUCCUGGACAGUAAAUGGAUUUACCCUC